UAAAGCUGAUGAGAAGAAUAGUACAAAUGUUGUAUGCAAGUUUUGUAACAAGAUUACAAAGGGGGUAAUUUAUCGCUUUAAAUUCCUUCUUAUUGGUGGCGAUAGAAAUGUCACAAGUUGUCCGAAAUGUCCACCGGAGGUGAGGGAUGAAAUAAAGAAUUUUGUUGAGAAGAAGAAGGAGCAAAAAAAAUCAAAUGAGUCAUCAACCAUUUGUGACCAAUCUGAUGAUGAUGAUAUUGAAGAAGGUGAAGGUUUGUCACUUCCAACAAAACGGGGAAGAGAUGCUAUCUCUUCAAGCCAUGGAUCGACGGGUACGAGUAGGACUAAAGUCCUAUAUAUUGCUAUUUCCCAAAGAAGCCAGAAGCAAAGAGCGGUGGAAAAGAUGUGCAAAAAAUUGCUAAGGACAUUUUGAGGGAUCGUGCAGUUAAAGCUUUUGCACGAUGGGUCUAUGAUGCUGGGCUCCCCUUCAAUUGUGUCAACUAUACUGACACUUUUGGAGACUUUAUUGAGGCCGUUGGUCAAUAUGGCCCUGGAAUGAAGCCUCCCACUUAUCAUGAAAUCAGAGGUCCUUAUCUAAAUAAGGAAGUGGAGAAGACCAAUAAAAUUGUGGAGGAACAUAAAGUUGUGUGGAACAAGUAUGGAUGCUCCAUUAUGAUGGAUAAGUGGACAACAAGAACUGGAAAAAUGAUUAGGGAAAUUUGUUUCUUGAGUCGAUUGAUGCUAGCGACUCGUCCACUGACCACAUCAAAAUGUUCACCUUGUUUCAGAACACCAUUGAAAAGAUUGGCCCAAGCAAAGUUGUUCAAGUGGUUACCGAUAAUGCGAGUGAAAAUGUGAAAGCGAGUGGCAUAGUGCAAGGAGCAUACUCGAAUGUCUAUUGGACUACAUGUGCGGCUCAUUGUAUCAACUUAAUAUUCGGGGACAUUUUCAAGGAAAAACCCUUCUCUACAGUUUUUGGCCAGGGCACUAGGGUACAUUCUUAUAUUGCUUAACGACCCUUGUUAUUGAAUAUGAUGAGAAGAUUCACCAGACAAAAAAAUUUGGUGAAACCGGGAAAGACAUGGUUCGCCACUGCUUUCUUGACUUUGCAUAGUAUCCACUUGCAAAAAGCCAAUUUGAGAAAGUCGUUCAUUUCAGAGGAAUGGAACAAGAGUAAAUUUGCAAAGGAAACUAGGGGGAAAGAUGUUGCACGCAUUAUUCUUUCUUAUUCUUUUUGGAAUAAUGUCCUCCAUGCUCUUAAAAUUGGUGGCCCUUUGGUUAAAGUACUCCGUUUGGUGGAUGGGGAUUAAAAACCACCAAUGGGCUACCUCUAUGAAGCUAUGGAUAGGGCCAAUGAGGCUAUUCAAGCAUCAUUCACUCAUGAGCAGAAAUAUGCAAAGGUCUUUCAGAUCAUUGAUGCAAGAUGAACGGAGCAACUUCAUCGACCUUUGCAUGCAGCUGGACUUAUUCUGAACCCGUCAGUCUUUUAUGAUCAGUAUGAGAAUAAUUCAUUGGCUAGAGAAGUGUGGACGGGAUUCCAUGGGUGUGUUAUUAAGUUGACCCCAGAUGAAGACUUGCAAGAAAAGAUAGUAGAUCAGUUUGCUAUUUACAAGGCAGGUGAAGGACUUUUCAAGCUGCGACUGGCUAUUAAACAAAGAAAGACGAAGUCGCCAGGUGAUCGAGUGCUUCUAUAUUUUAUAGCUCUAACUUUUAAUGUAUUUUUUAUACUUAUUAACUCUUGAAUAUAUUUUUUUUCACUUCUAUAGUUGAGUGGUGGGACCAAUAUGGUACAGAGACUCCGGAUUUACAGACUUUCGCGAUCAAAGUUCUAAGUUUAACUUGUAGUUCUUCCAGAUGUGAAAGGAACUGGAGCGUUUUUGAACACAUUCAUACAAAGAAGAGGAAUCGACUAACCUUGAAGUGCCUCCAUAAUCUAGUGUUCAUAAAAUACAAUAGAGCAUUGAGACGUCGCUACAACCACCGCAAUCUAAUUGAUCCAAUUCUUUUGGACAAUAUUGACGAGGCUAAUGAGUGGCUAACCGGAGUCCCCGAAAAUUGUGAAGAUGAAGAAGUAAUUGAAGGCGACUCUAAUUUCACUUGGGGUGAUGUUGCGGAUGCUAGUGGAGUUGGGGAGAACCCUUAUGGUUUAAGGGGGAAUACUUCAAGUUCAAGCUCGAUUAGGAAGGGAAAAAGUGUGGCUA